rnacentral:rRNA from 1 species
GACGAACGCUGGCGGCGUGCCUAAUACAUGCAAGUCGAACGCACGAAGUUGAAGAGCUUGCUCUUUAACCAAGUGAGUGGCGGACGGGUGAGUAACACGUGGGUAACCUACCCAUUAGAGGGGGAUAACAUUCGGAAACGGAUGCUAAUACCGCAUGGUUUCAGGAAUCGCAUGAUUCGUGAAGGAAAGGUGGCUUCGGCUACCACUAAUGGAUGGACCCGCGGCGUAUUAGCUAGUUGGUGAGGUAAUGGCUCACCAAGGCAAUGAUACGUAGCCGACCUGAGAGGGUGAUCGGCCACACUGGGACUGAGACACGGCCCAGACUCCUACGGGAGGCAGCAGUAGGGAAUCUUCCGCAAUGGACGAAAGUCUGACGGAGCAACGCCGCGUGAGUGAAGAAGGUUUUCGGAUCGUAAAACUCUGUUGUUAAAGAAGAACAAGGAUGAGAGUAACUGCUCAUCCCCUGACGGUAUUUAACCAGAAAGCCACGGCUAACUACGUGCCAGCAGCCGCGGUAAUACGUAGGUGGCAAGCGUUGUCCGGAUUUAUUGGGCGUAAAGCGAGCGCAGGCGGUUCUUUAAGUCUGAUGUGAAAGCCCCCGGCCCAACCGGGGAGGGUCAUUGGAAACUGGAGAACUUGAGUGCAGAAGAGGAGAGUGGAAUUCCACGUGUAGCGGUGAAAUGCGUAGAUAUGUGGAGGAACACCAGUGGCGAAGGCGACUCUCUGGUCUGUAACUGACGCUGAGGCUCGAAAGCGUGGGGAGCAAACAGG